rnacentral:rRNA from 1 species
GAUGAACGCUGGCGGCGUGCCUAAUACAUGCAAGUCGAGCGAACAGACGAGGAGCUUGCUCCUCUGACGUUAGCGGCGGACGGGUGAGUAACACGUGGAUAACCUACCUAUAAGACUGGGAUAACUUCGGGACACCGGAGCUAAUACCGGAUAAUAUAUUGAACCGCAUGGUUCAAUAGUGAAAGACGGUUUUGCUGUCACUUAUAGAUGGAUCCGCGCCGCAUUAGCUAGUUGGUAAGGUAACGGCUUACCAAGGCAACGAUGCGUAGCCGACCUGAGAGGGUGAUCGGCCACACGGGAACUGAGACACGGUCCAGACUCCUACGGGAGGCAGCAGUAGGGAAUCUUCCGCAAUGGGCGAAAGCCUGACGGAGCAACGCCGCGUGAGUGAUGAAGGUCUUCGGAUCGUAAAACUCUGUUAUUAGGGAAGAACAAAUGUGUAAGUAACUAUGCACGUCUUGACGGUACCUAAUCAGAAAGCCACGGCUAACUACGUG